rnacentral:rRNA from 1 species
GAUGAACGCUGGCGGCGUGCUUAACACAUGCAAGUCGAACGAUGAAGCCCAGCUUGCUGGGUGGAUUAGUGGCGAACGGGUGAGUAACACGUGAGUAACCUGCCCUUAACUCUGGGAUAAGCCUGGGAAACUGGGUCUAAUACCGGAUAGGAGCGCCUACCGCAUGGUGGGUGUUGGAAAGAUUUAUCGGUUUUGGAUGGACUCGCGGCCUAUCAGCUUGUUGGUGAGGUAAUGGCUCACCAAGGCGACGACGGGUAGCCGGCCUGAGAGGUGGACCGGCCACACUGGGAAUGAGACACGGCCCAGGCUCCUACGGGAGGCAGCAGUGGGGAAUAUUGCACAAUGGGCGAAAGCCUGAUGCAGCGACGCCGCGUGAGGGAUGACGGCCUUCGGGUUGUAAACCUCUUUCAGUAGGGAAGAAGCGAAAGUGACGGUACCUGCAGAAGAAGCACCGGCUAACUACGUG